GAUAACAGGCUUAUCUCCCCCAAGAGUCCACAUCGACGGGGAGGUUUGGCACCUCGAUGUCGGCUCAUCACAUCCUGGGGCUGUAGUAGGUCCCAAGGGGUGGGCUGUUCGCCCAUUAAAGUGGUACGCGAGCUGGGUUCAGAACGUCGUGAGACAGUUCGGUCCCUAUCCGUCGCAGGCGUAGGAAAUUUGAGAAGACCUGUCCUUAGUACGAGAGGACCGGGAUGGACGUACCUCUGGUGUACCAGUUGUCCUGCCAAGGGCAUGGCUGGGUAGCUAUGUACGGAAUGGAUAAGCGCUGAAAGCAUCUAAGCGCGAAGCCAACUUCAAGAUAAGAUUUCCCACCGCAAGGGUAAGACCCCAGAAAGACUAUCUGGUUGAUAGGUCGAAGGUGUAAGUGCAGCAAUGUAUUUAGCUUAUCGAUACUAAUAGGUCGAGGACUUGACCAAU
rnacentral:rRNA from 1 species